ensembl:snRNA U6 U6 spliceosomal RNA
GUGCUCAUUUUAGCAGCACAUAUACUAAAAUUGGAAUAAUACAGAGAAGAUUAGCAUGGUCUCUGCGCAAGGAAGACAUGCAGAUCUGUGAAGCAUUCCAUAUUAAA